rnacentral:rRNA from 1 species
GUGAGGAAUAUUGGUCAAUGGGCGAGAGCCUGAACCAGCCAAGUCGCGUGAGGGAAGACUGCCCUAUGGGUUGUAAACCUCUUUUGACGGGGGAUAAAGUGCGGGACGUGUCCCGUAUUGCAGGUACCCGUCGAAUAAGGAUCGGCUAACUCCGUGCCAGCAGCCGCGGUAAUACGGAGGAUCCGAGCGUUAUCCGGAUUUAUUGGGUUUAAAGGGUGCGCAGGCGGCCUGUUAAGUCAGCGGUGAAAUCUCGGGGCUCAACCCCGGAACUGCCGUUGAUACUGGUAGGCUUGAGUGCGGAUAAGGAUGGCGGAAUGUGUCAUGUAGCGGUGAAAUGCUUAGAUAUGCCACAGAACACCGAUUGCGAAGGCAGCUGUCCGGGCCGUAACUGACGCUGAGGCACGAAAGCGUGGGUAUCGAACAGG